GACGAACGCUGGCGGCGUGCUUAACACAUGCAAGUCGAACGGAGAGGCCCUGCUUUUGCGGGGUGCUCGAGUGGCGAACGGGUGAGUAACACGUGAGUAACCUGCCCUUGACUUUGGGAUAACUUCAGGAAACUGGGGCUAAUACCGGAUAGGAGCUCCUGCUGCAUGGUGGGGGUUGGAAAGUUUCGGCGGUUGGGGAUGGACUCGCGGCUUAUCAGCUUGUUAGUGGGGUAGUGGCUUACCAAGGCUUUGACGGGUAGCCGGCCUGAGAGGGUGACCGGCCACAUUGGGACUGAGAUACGGCCCAGACUCCUACGGGAGGCAGCAGUGGGGAAUAUUGCACAAUGGGCGGAAGCCUGAUGCAGCAACGCCGCGUGCGGGAUGACGGCCUUCGGGUUGUAAACCGCUUUCGCCUGUGACGAAGCGUGAGUGACGGUAAUGGGUAAAGAAGCACCGGCUAACUACGUG
rnacentral:rRNA from 1 species